rnacentral:lncRNA from 1 species
GCAGGUGGUGGAGGAGGUCCAGAUGUCCGAAUCUGUGGUGAACAUGAAUUGGGGCAGGUGGUUGAGGAAGCCACGUUAGGGAGUGGCGGAGGAGGAGGGGAAGCUGAAGAUGAAUUAUUUACGGUAGAAAAUGGAGAUAUAGCUGAGAAUGGAGGGAGUGGGGGAGGGGGAGGGGGAGCUGAAAACGAAUUCUUUACAGAAGAAGAUGGAGAUGUAGCUGAGGAUGGAGGGAGUGGUGGUGGGGGAGGGGGAGACUGGCACAAGUUCUCGACUUUGGG